GACGAACGCUGGCGGCGUGCCUAAUACAUGCAAGUAGAACGCACAGUUUAUACCGUAGCUUGCUACACCAUAAACUGUGAGUUGCGAACGGGUGAGUAACGCGUAGGUAACCUGCCUGGUAGCGGGGGAUAACUAUUGGAAACGAUAGCUAAUACCGCAUAAUAUUAAUUAUUGCAUGAUAAUUGAUUGAAAGAUGCAAUCGCAUCACUACCAGAUGGACCUGCGUUGUAUUAGCUAGUAGGUGAGGUAACGGCUCACCUAGGCGACGAUACAUAGCCGACCUGAGAGGGUGAUCGGCCACACUGGGACUGAGACACGGCCCAGACUCCUACGGGAGGCAGCAGUAGGGAAUCUUCGGCAAUAGACGAAAGUCUGACCGAGCAACGCCGCGUGAGUGAAGAAGGUUUUCGGAUCGUAAAGCUCUGUUGUAAGAGAAGAACGGGUGUGAGAGUGGAAAGUUCACACUGUGACGGUAUCUUACCAGAAAGGGACGGCUAACUACGUG
rnacentral:rRNA from 1 species